AAUAGUCCAGUGUUUCCCAACCACUGUGCUGUGGUACAUAAGUGUGCUGGAAGAUUAUCCAAUUUGACCUGAUUAGUACUGUAAGCGACCGGCAUGAUAUGUACGACUGUACACGCCAAUGAUCCAGUCUACAACAACAGUCUCCUGUUUACCUUUAUAAAAGUUAAAGGUGAAUGUGAACUGAC